GCUUAUCAAGAGUGGCUAGAGGGAACCGGCCCUAUGAAGCCCGGCAACCGCGGAGAGCAGCGGUGCCAAAUCCGGCAGGGAGACCUGAAAGAUGAGG
rnacentral:ncRNA from 1 species